AAUUUACGAAAAGAAUAAGCUCUUAUAGCACAUUUUAACUAAAGCAAAAAUAGACACGUGAAAAGGAGAAAAAAUGGCGGUUGGCAAGGGAAGAGACGGUCAUGGGGAGCAAUGGUUGCUAAAAUAAUGGCGGACAUGAAUGGCAUAGAUCAAAUGAAAAGCUCCAAAACAGACGGUUCAGAAAUCCCACUAAUAACCCUUAAUCUUUGCCAUUGUUAUUCAAACUUGAAGCCCCCUCUCCCCCCAUUGCUUUCCCCCUCGUAGCUCCCCCAAUAACAUCAUUAUCAUCUCAUGCAAAACCCAACGAAACAAAAAAUGUCGUGGCAAACUUAUGUAGAUGAGCACUUGAUGUGUGACAUUGAAGGCCAAGGCCAACAUCUUAAAUCCGCCGCCAUCGUCGGCCAUGAUGGCAGUGUUUGGGCUCAAAGCUCCGCCUUCCCUCAGUUAAAUGCUAGUGAGUCACUGACAUAAUGAAAGAUUUUGAUGAACCGGGCCACCUUGCUCCUAAAGGGUUACAUCUUGCCGGUGCAAAGUAUAUGGUCAUACAGGGUGAGCCUGGUGCCGUCAUUCGUGGAAAAAAGGGAACAUGAGGAGUGACCAUUAAGAAAACAGGACAAGCUCUUAUAUUUGGUAUCUAUGAAGAACCAGUGACUCCAGGACAAUGCAACAUGGUUGUUGAAAGGUUGGGUGAUUAUCUUGCUUAACAGGGAC